AUAAGAUAAGCUCGGAAAGAUAAGGAUGCUGAUGAGGCCAACAUGGGUACUCAGUCCUUACUUUCUCUUCUUUCUUGUCUAUAUAAACCACAUAAUAGCUCCUUGCAAGACACAAGUUGAGUAACGGCAUAAGUCUUACUUGGAGAAGUGUGAAGCAAAGCUAAGCUUGAAAGAAUUAUGCAGCAUGGGAAUUUCAGUUCAGAAUGUUUCUGAAAGGGAAGGAGCUUUGGAAUCACAUUGAUGGGUCUGCUCCUGCUCCUAAAGAAGCUAAGGAGAUGUGGAUUAUUUGCAACACAUAUAUCAUCAAGAUAACACUGCAAGACGGUUUUAUCUAGAACUUGAGAUUGGUAACUUUAGUCAAGGUAGUCUCCCUCUUGAGCAGUAUUAUUGUGGAUUUAUUAAUCUAUGGAUCGAAUAUUCUGAUCUUAUCUAUUCAAAGGUACCUAAAGGGGCCUUAGCUAGCCUUCAAGCAAUUCAUGAAGAUAGUAGAUGCGAUCAAUUUUUGAUGAAACUAAGGCCAGAAUUUGAAGUUGCAUUAGCUGGAUCACUGAAUAGAAAUCUUGUUCCUUUCUUGGAUAUAUGUCUUGGAGAAUUGUUGCGUGAAGAAUAAAGAAUGGCUACAGAAGUUGUUCUAGGUUCGUCUAAGGAGAUAUUCGAGGUUGUUAAUGUUGCUUAUGGUGCUCAAGGGAAGAAUCGAGGAAAGGGACGAAUGCAGUGCUAUAGUUGCAAAGAGUUUGGGCAUAUUGCAUGCAAUUGUGGUAAGAAGCAAGGUUUAAAAUCUCGACCCGUGCCGAGGUUUCGGUCUUGGACCGGAACGAUACGGUUUCGGUAUCGUAUCUUGCC